CUACCGCCGGCGACCGGCGCACGGGUGAGUAACACGUAUGAAACCUGCCCGUAGCAGGGGGAUAAGCGGAAGAAAUUCCGUCUAAUACCGCGUAACAACCCGAGGAGGCAUCUCCUCGGGUUUAAAGGAAGCGAUUCCGGCUACGGAUGGUCAUGCGUCGCAUUAGCUAGUUGGCGGGGUAACGGCCCACCAAGGCGACGAUGCGUAGGGGUUCUGAGAGGAAGGUCCCCCACACUGGUACUGAGACACGGACCAGACUCCUACGGAAGGCAGCAG
rnacentral:rRNA from 1 species